CACAGGAGACACACGUGGCCCACACUUGCCCCUUCUUUCCCAAUCUGAUACUCCAGGGUGGAGCAGUUACCUGGGAUAUUCGAGCAGGAGGGGACUCCUUCUAGAAGGCAUGGCAGAAGAUAAAGAAAAGUGCAAGAGUGCACCGAGAAGACAAGGCAAGCAUGUCCAUGAAAACCUUAUUUGAAAUAGCCUUAACCUGGAAAAACCUCACAUGUCCCUCAACAGUAAAAUGGAUGAAUUGUGGUAUAUUCAAACAAUGGAGUACUGUACAGUAAUUAAAAUGAAUAAACCACCACUGUGCAUACUAA